rnacentral:rRNA from 1 species
AUUCCAGCUCCAAUAGCGUAUAUUAAAGUUGUUGCAGUUAAAACGCUCGUAGUCGGAUUUCGGGGCGGGCCGACCGGUCUGCCGAUGGGUAUGCACUGGCCGGCGCGUCCUUCCACCCGGAGACCGCGCCUACUCUUAACUGAGCGGGCGCGGGAGACGGGUCUUUUACUUUGAAAAAAUCAGAGUGUUUCAAGCAGGCAGUCGCUCUUGCAUGGAUUAGCAUGGGAUAAUGAAAUAGGACUCUGGUGCUAUUAAUGAUUAACAGGGACAGUCAGGGGCACUCGUAUUCCGCCGAGAGAGGUGAAAUUCUCAGACCAGCGGAAGACGAACCACUGCGAAAGCAUUUGCCAGGGAUGUUUUCAUCA